UGGGGAAUAUUGGACAAUGGGCGGAAGCCUGAUCCAGCAACGCCGCGUGAGGGAUGACGGCCUUCGGGUUGUAAACCUCUUUCAGUACCGACGAAGCGAAAGUGACGGUAGGUACAGAAGAAGGACCGGCCAACUACGUGCCAGCAGCCGCGGUAAUACGUAGGGUCCGAGCGUUGUCCGGAAUUAUUGGGCGUAAAGGGCUCGUAGGCGGUUUGUCGCGUCGGGAGUGAAAACAGCGGGCUUAACUCGUUGCUUGCUUUCGAUACGGGCAGACUAGAGGUAUGCAGGGGAGAAUGGAAUUCCUGGUGUAGCGGUGAAAUGCGCAGAUAUCAGGAGGAACACCGGUGGCGAAGGCGGUUCUCUGGGCAUUACCUGACGCUAGGAGCGAAAGUGUGGGGAGCGAACAGAGUUAGU
rnacentral:rRNA from 1 species